GGAGGGGACCGGGAGGCGACCAGGAGGGGACCGGGAGGGGACCGGGAUGUGACUGUGUUUAUCUGCAGGCAGCACCAGCAGAAAGUGAAUUACAGUCGGUUAUAAGCAGAAAUCUAUAAGCUGCAGCCGCGCUGACAAAUGAUCCCAGUUUGAUUUCCUCAGGGGGGCGCCGAGUGUGACGGAGUGCGUCUCAACUGCAUGUGUUUAAAUUUUUAUCACAGAGCCAGCUUUUAUUCGCCCUCGGUGAGGAAGAUGAUGAAGUGGCUGAUGGGACGUGACGCCCCGAGGCUGAGAGCUGACCAAUCACAGCGAGCCGAGAUCAAACCCAUCAUCACGUAAAAAAAAAAAAAAAUCCACAAAAAGCAAGUCAAAUAUGAAUCUGCUUCCUGUUUCUCUAUGUGAAUACAUAAAGAUGAUGAAGAAGUUAUUGUUGCUGCACAGAACAAACAACAUGUAAAGUACAGUAAACGCUUUCUUGCGAUAUA